rnacentral:lncRNA from 1 species
GGUUUUGGCAAAUGAAGUAAACAUUGGCUAUGAAGACAUGAACAACCAGCAGGUCCUGAAGUUCAAUGGAACUCAUAUAAGAAACAUCCAUCACCUGGCACACCUCAUUGACAUGUGCAAAGACAAGUAUCUGGUUUUUGAGUUUGAAGACAACUAUGUGGCCGUGUUGGAGAGAGAAGCUUCGAAUUCGGCUUCUUUGUGCAUCCUCAAAGACUAUGGAAUUCCCUCAGAAAGAUCCGCUGAUCUGCGUGAGCCAUAUGUAGAUCCAGUACAUGACAACGAAGCACUUGACCAAGGUUUUGGAGACAGCCCUGUGUCAAAUCUAGAAAUUGGCUUCGAUGGACUGGUGUGGGCAUAAGGGUUCAGAGAAACAGAGGUUUUUUUUAAAAAAAAAUCCGCAGACGGAAGCUGCUGGGAGCUUCCCAUAGCCUAUGGGAAAGCUUUCAGAUUCAUACUCAUUCAUAAGGUCUUGACCUGUUCCAAGCUCAGUUCAUUUAUUUCUUCAGAUCUCUAGGGGCUGAAUUUGAUAGAAAAUUUGCUUCUCCCUUGUGUUCAGAUGAGUGUAGUAGUCUAGUAGAACAAAGUCAACAUUUUAUACUUAAUGUCUGAUUUUGGUGAGAAAUGAAAUGCAGUAAUGUCUGCUCAACCAGAGAAUCUCUGCUGAUCUUUUAAGUUUUACCAUAACUAAACCUAUGAUUAUUGCAGAAACAGGAACAAGUUAAAAGCUGGCACUCACUUCAAUAUCGAAGGAAGCAGGUCCUGAAGUUCAAUGGAACUCAUAUAAGAAACAUCCAUCACCUGGCACACCUCAUUGACAUGUGCAAAGACAAGUAUCUGGUUUUUGAGUUUGAAGACAACUAUGUGGCCGUGUUGGAGAGAGAAGCUUCGAAUUCGGCUUCUUUGUGCAUCCUCAAAGACUAUGGAAUUCCCUCAGAAAGAUCCGCUG